rnacentral:rRNA from 1 species
AAGGAGACUGCCAGUGAUAAACUGGAGGAAGGUGGGGAUGACGUCAAGUCAUCAUGGCCCUUACGACCAGGGCUACACACGUGCUACAAUGGCGCAUACAAAGAGAAGCGACCUCGCGAGAGCAAGCGGACCUCAUAAAGUGCGUCGUAGUCCGGAUUGGAGUCUGCAACUCGACUCCAUGAAGUCGGAAUCGCUAGUAAUCGUGGAUCAGAAUGCCACGGUGAAUACGUUCCCGGGCCUUGUACACACCGCCCGUCACACCAUGGGAGUGGGUUGCAAAAGAAGUAGGUAGCUUAACCUUCGGGAGGGCGCUUACCACUUUGUGAUUCAUGACUGGGGUGAAGUCGUAACAAGGUAACCGUAGGGGAACCUGCGGUUGGAUCAC